rfam:Triticum aestivum genome assembly, contig: Triticum_aestivum_CS42_TGACv1_scaffold_212661_3AS
CAUGUACUCUCUCCGUCCGGCAUUAUUUGUCGUGAAAAUGGAUGUAUCUAAAACUAAAAUACGUUUAAAUACAUUCAUUUUCUUGAUAAAUAUUUCCGGACGGAGGGAGUAGUAC